CUACAGUGCUCCAAGUAUUUGCCUCUUUCUUAUUCAGAUAAUGCCAAAGAGCACAGCCAAAGCCAUGAGAGAUGGGGAGUGUGACAAGGGCUGAAGGGAAGCAGAUGGAAGAGAGCUUGGCUGUGGAAAGGCAGCCCGGCCACCAGCGUUUGCGCGCCGUGUGGUCUCAGCUGCCAAAGGAGAAGCGUGGGUAAGACUGACUCAGCUCCUGAGGGCAGUGAAUCAGAGUGAAAUGCCCAUGAAAGGGUGACUUCUGCCUGGGUGAUGAAGCGAGAAGGAGCUGAGGUGGACUUUGCUUAGGGCCCUAGAUGGGGACAUUGGACAUCUGAGCCUCCUUCCAACUCUCUCACAGGAUUCCUCAAGCAGGAAGAGCUGGUUUGGUUGCUGUCCUUCAAAUGAUGGAUCUUAUCACAUGGGAAAAAGAAGGAAGAAAAAAAAAAAGGCAAACCACCUAGAAACAGCCACAGGUACAGCCUAAAAAGAGGUGUGGACAAGACCAAGGACCAAAGCUGAAAGGUGUGCAAGAUCCUGUCUGCGUGCCAGCCUGAGCAUAUUGCAAGAUGGAGACAUUUGCAACUUCGCAUGCUGCACCAUGGAUGGAAUAUCUUCUUGUUGGGAGUGUGUAUCUUUGGGAUCCUACUAUCGAUGGGGCAUCACAGACAAGAUUACCAAAAGCACUGCUGUUCGCUACUGCAUUCACCUCCACCUUGGAGCUGCAGCCAGGCCUCCCCAGCCAGCUCUUUCUCUUGAGCUUCACAAGCAGAAGACAAGCCCAGGCAGGCCAUCUCCACCAGCUGCUGUGCUUCAGCAAGGCAGCUCAAGCUGAGGCAUGUUUCAGCAGCUCUUCUGAGCUUCUCCUGUACCCGAGUCAUGGAUGCAUCAAGUGCUUCAGUUUACAGGGCCAUCAGCCUGGCAGCUUUCCUUGGCACUAAAUUUACUUUUUAAAGUUACAUCAGUGUUGCACCCAGAGGGAAUGGAGGAACAGAUGCAGCCUGUGAAGUCUGGCUUUAAUUCACCUGCCUCAUUUAAUUUCCUGCCCUGCCUUCUAAUCAAUGAGUCUGCACUAGCGGCCCUGGGAAUGCAGAGGUUUUUUCAUAUACGGGAGAAUUCAACGCAGCGGCUGUGCUGGCUGAGCUCUUAGGGUCUCGAGCAGGCUGUGUCACGUCUCCUUUGAGGCUGCUUCAUUAUGGAUUUCCCUCCCCCAGAAGCAUUUGCACACACUCUCCAAUCCACGGCAGCUGCACCACAUUUCCUUGCAGGAGCUGGUUGGCACUGGGCAGCUGUGCCAUGUUAGCCUCUCUUAGUCAAGGCUGGCUGUGCAGCAUUCCCUUCUGGAAGUGCUCUCCUUCCAGGUGUUCCUGGUUUUCAGCCACAUGGCUUUCUUUUCAGGGCCACAUGCUGCUUUCUGGGGCUCUGACCCCACAGUGGCUCUGCUGUGCUACCUCAGACAGGCUGCUGAGGCCAAAUGUGCCUCAUUACCUCCAAGGGAUCCCAGCAACAUCAUGGGACCAGUGGUACUUCGCAGGGGCUCCUUUCUGGAGGCAGCUGUGCCGAUGCUCCCUCACAGGGCCUUCAGGCCAGGCCAUUGUGCUGUAUUGGCCUUGUGGUGUGUCACUUCCCAGGUGUUCCUUCAUCGAGGACAGUAGCACCAUGUCACCUCAAAGGUGCUUUCAGGACUACGUUGCCUCAGACACUCAGGGCUAUCAGAAAGCUCCGAUGAAAGGGUUUCUGGCAUUUUUGCUUUGGUUAAGCAGACUCCCACUGUCCUGUUUUUUUUUGAGCUCAUGUUAAUUCCAGGCAGUGCUGCCCAGUUGCUUAAUCAGCUAGUGUCAAAACCCUGGGAGACAGGAAGGCUGUGGUUGGUAGCACCUAUUUUGUGAUGUUGCUGCUUUACCUCACAUAUUAUAAUCUGUAUCAGAUUGCUCUUUGCCUGCUAAAAUGGACAAUUAGGAUCCAGUUGUAAUGCAAAUUGCAUGGUGGAAUAAAAACCACGGGGAACAAAAUCACAAAUAAGUGUUUAUGUCAGCCUUUGUUACUGUGUGAUGGGUCCCACUCAGUUACUGCUCCGCUGUGAAGCAUCAGACAGAAGAGAACCUGGUGUGCCUUUGUGUUUUAUAGGCACGAGAGGCUCUGUGUAAGACUGCCUUUAGGCACUCGCGGCCCUGAUAAUGUGUAUGUAUGCAAACCUAACAGACAGAUUGCCGCCUACACUGGAAAUUUGAUGAUUGCCUUGUUUUUUCAAGGCUCUGCUUUAUACACUGCAGGCCAAACCCAUGGGGUAAUUUCCAGUCUCUCUGCACAGGGCUGAGAUGACGUGGUGAGAGAAGCGUAGAGAUGCUGAAAUUUCAAUCUGCCACAUAAUGUGCUCCUAAUACUGAUAGCCUUGUAAGUGUGGUGUUGUCAUUGGUGUCCUCGUGGUUGUUCUUGUCAUUGUUGUUUUCCCAUGCUUGCUGUUAAAUGUUGUAAAUUAAGAGAAA